rnacentral:lncRNA from 1 species
GUGAGUAUUUUAAAGGUACCUGAUAUCCAACUAGAAGAAGAGUCAUGGCUCAGUCUUCAGAAAAGGAACAUGGCUAUCCGGAGUCACUGCCUCACGUGGACACAGUAUGCAUCCAUGAGGGAAGAGUCAGUUUUCCGGGAAAGUGUGGAGAAUCCAAAUUGGACAGAGUUCAUUCAAACAGGCAGAAUUUCAAUCNCAGGGGCUGGAUUUCUCAACUGCAUUUUGGAAACUUUUGCUAGUACGUUCUUAAGACAAGGAGCCCAAAAGGGAAUUAGAAUAAUGGAGAUGCUGCUGAAGGAACAGUGUGGUUCCCCCUUAGUGGAAUAAAAAAUCAUCAGGAAGCUGCCACUGUGUCUACUCUUCCUUGAGACUUACUUCUUGGCCACAACAUCAUAGGCACACUUACCGGAUGCUGGUUCCAGGACAGAGUCAGUGGCUUAGAGAAGAGGGGACCUUCCUGCUAGAGUACAGACUUGUCACUCCCCUUUGGGGCCUGCUUCAAAUCAUGGGACUCACAGAGAUGAGACUUUGCAGCUGGAGUUUUAUGACAUGGUCUCUUUACAAUCUCAUGAAUAAAGGGAAAAACCUAUCAGAUGAC